GCCAGGUGGCGGCGUUGCCUAUACAUGCAGUCGAACGAACUCUGGUAUUGAUUGGUGCUUGCAUCAUGAUUUACAUUUGAGUGAGUGGCGAACUGGUGAGUAACACGUGGGAAACCUGCCCAGAAGCGGGGGAUAACACCUGGAAACAGAUGCUAAUACCGCAUAACAACUUGGACCGCAUGGUCCGAGUUUGAAAGAUGGCUUCGGCUAUCACUUUUGGAUGGUCCCGCGGCGUAUUAGCUAGAUGGUGGGGUAACGGCUCACCAUGGCAAUGAUACGUAGCCGACCUGAGAGGGUAAUCGGCCACAUUGGGACUGAGACACGGCCCAAACUCCUACGGGAGGCAGCAGUAGGGAAUCUUCCACAAUGGACGAAAGUCUGAUGGAGCAACGCCGCGUGAGUGAAGAAGGGUUUCGGCUCGUAAAACUCUGUUGUUAAAGAAGAACAUAUCUGAGAGUAACUGUUCAGGUAUUGACGGUAUUUAACCAGAAAGCCACGGCUAACUACGUGCCAGCAGCCGCGGUAAUACGUAGGUGGCAAGCGUUGUCCGGAUUUAUUGGGCGUAAAGCGAGCGCAGGCGGUUUUUUAAGUCUGAUGUGAAAGCCUUCGGCUCAACCGAAGAAGUGCAUCGGAAACUGGGAAACUUGAGUGCAGAAGAGGACAGUGGAACUCCAUGUGUAGCGGUGAAAUGCGUAGAUAUAUGGAAGAACACCAGUGGCGAAGGCGGCUGUCUGGUCUGUAACUGACGCUGAGGCUCGAAAGUAUGGGUAGCAAACAGGAUUAGAUACCCUGGUAGUCCAUACCGUAAACGAUGAAUGCUAAGUGUUGGAGGGUUUCCGCCCUUCAGUGCUGCAGCUAACGCAUUAAGCAUUCCGCCUGGGGAGUACGGGCCGCAAGGCUGAAACUCAAAGGAAUUGACGGGGGCCCGCACAAGCGGUGGUAGCAUGUGGUUUAAUUCGAAGCUACGCGAAGAACCUUACCAGGUCUUGACAUACUAUGCAAAUCUAAGAGAUUAGACGUUCCCUUCGGGGACAUGGAUACAGGUGUGCAUGCUUGUCGUCAGCUCGUGUCGUGAGAAUGUUGGGUUAAGUUCCCGCAACGAGCGCAACUCUUAUUUAU
rnacentral:rRNA from 2 species